GGCUCGACUUUGAGACUGAGUCGACUCAUCUGUGAUGAAUAGAAAUCUAUGGGCUACGGCCUGUAGAAUUGAGUCAGCUCAUCUGCUAACAAGCCAACUCAUCCGAGUCUUGAGUUGACUCUAAUAAAAACAAGUUGACUCACCAAGGACUUGAGUCAACUCGAGUAAAAAAUGAGUCGACUCCACAGACAUGCCAGUAU
rnacentral:lncRNA from 1 species